UCGAGAAUCUUCGGCAAUGGGCGAAAGCCUGACCGAGCGAUGCCGCGUGCGGGAUGAAGGCCCUCGGGUUGUAAACCGCUGUCGUAGGGGAGGAAGGUUCCGUGAAGAGCGGAAUUUGACCUAUCCUAGGAGGAAGUACGGGCUAAGUUCGUGCCAGCAGCCGCGGUAACACGAACCGUACGAACGUUAUUCGGAAUUACUGGGCUUAAAGGGUUUGUAGGCGGCCUUGUAAGUCAGGUGUGAAAGCCCU
rnacentral:rRNA from 1 species